AGAGUUUGAUCCUGGCUCAGGACGAACGCUGGCGGCGUGCUUAACACAUGCAAGUCGAGCGGUAAGGCCCUUCGGGGUACACGAGCGGCGAACGGGUGAGUAACACGUGAGCAAUCUGCCCAUCACUUCGGGAUAACUCCGGGAAACCGGUGCUAAUACCGAAUACGACCACUUCAGGCAUCUGAUGGUGGUGGAAAGUUCCGGCGGUGAUGGAUGAGCUCGCGGCCUAUCAGCUUGUUGGUGGGGUAACGGCCCACCAAGGCUUCGACGGGUAGCCGGCCUGAGAGGGUGACCGGCCACACUGGGACUGAGACACGGCCCAGACUCCUACGGGAGGCAGCAGUGGGGAAUAUUGGACAAUGGGCGAAAGCCUGAUCCAGCAACGCCGCGUGAGGGAUGACGGCCUUCGGGUUGUAAACCUCUUUCAGCAGGGACGAAGCGCAAGUGACGGUACCUGCAGAAGAAGCACCGGCCAACUACGUGCCAGCAGCCGCGGUAAUACGUAGGGUGCGAGCGUUGUCCGGAAUUAUUGGGCGUAAAGGGCUCGUAGGCGGUUUGUCGCGUCGGUAGUGAAAACUCAGGGCUUAACUCUGAGCCUGCUUCCGAUACGGGCAGACUAGAGGUAUGCAGGGGAGAACGGAAUUCCUGGUGUAGCGGUGAAAUGCGCAGAUAUCAGGAGGAACACCGGUGGCGAAGGCGGUUCUCUGGGCAUUACCUGACGCUGAGGAGCGAAAGUGUGGGGAGCGAACAGGAUUAGAUACCCUAGUAGUCC
rnacentral:rRNA from 1 species